rnacentral:rRNA from 1 species
UUGAACGCUGGCGGCAGGCCUAACACAUGCAAGUCGAGCGGUAGCACAGAGAGCUUGCUCUCGGGUGACGAGCGGCGGACGGGUGAGUAAUGUCUGGGAAACUGCCUGAUGGAGGGGGAUAACUACUGGAAACGGUAGCUAAUACCGCAUAAUGUCGCAAGACCAAAGUGGGGGACCUUCGGGCCUCAUGCCAUCAGAUGUGCCCAGAUGGGAUUAGCUAGUAGGUGGGGUAACGGCUCACCUAGGCGACGAUCCCUAGCUGGUCUGAGAGGAUGACCAGCCACACUGGAACUGAGACACGGUCCAGACUCCUACGGGAGGCAGCAGUGGGGAAUAUUGCACAAUGGGCGCAAGCCUGAUGCAGCCAUGCCGCGUGUGUGAAGAAGGCCUUCGGGUUGUAAAGCACUUUCAGCGGGGAGGAAGGCGUUAAGGUUAAUAACCUUGGCGAUUGACGUUACCCGCAGAAGAAGCACCGGCUAACUCCGUGCCAGCAGCCGCGGUAAUACGGAGGGUGCAAGCGUUAAUCGGAAUUACUGGGCGUAAAGCGCACGCAGGCGGUCUGUCAAGUCGGAUGUGAAAUCCCCGGGCUCAACCUGGGAACUGCAUUCGAAACUGGCAGGCUAGAGUCUUGUAGAGGGGGGUAGAAUUCCAGGUGUAGCGGUGAAAUGCGUAGAGAUCUGGAGGAAUACCGGUGGCGAAGGCGGCCCCCUGGACAAAGACUGACGCUCAGGUGCGAAAGCGUGGGGAGCAAACAGGAUUAGAUACCCUGGUAGUCCACGCCGUAAACGAUGUCGAUUUGGAGGUUGUGCCCUUGAGGCGUGGCUUCCGGAGCUAACGCGUUAAAUCGACCGCCUGGGGAGUACGUCCGCAAGGUUAAAACUCAAAUGAAUUGACGGGGGCCCGCACAAGCGGUGGAGCAUGUGGUUUAAUUCGAUGCAACGCGAAGAACCUUACCUGGUCUUGACAUCCACAGAACUUUCCAGAGAUGGAUUGGUGCCUUCGGGAACUGUGAGACAGGUGCUGCAUGGCUGUCGUCAGCUCGUGUUGUGAAAUGUUGGGUUAAGUCCCGCAACGAGCGCAACCCUUAUCCUUUGUUGCCAGCGGUUAGGCCGGGAACUCAAAGGAGACUGCCAGUGAUAAACUGGAGGAAGGUGGGGAUGACGUCAAGUCAUCAUGGCCCUUACGACCAGGGCUACACACGUGCUACAAUGGCAUAUACAAAGAGAAGCGACCUCGCGAGAGCAAGCGGACCUCAUAAAGUAUGUCGUAGUCCGGAUUGGAGUCUGCAACUCGACUCCAUGAAGUCGGAAUCGCUAGUAAUCGUAGAUCAGAAUGCUACGGUGAAUACGUUCCCGGGCCUUGUACACACCGCCCGUCACACCAUGGGAGUGGGUUGCAAAAGAAGUAGGUAGCUUAACCUUCGGGAGGGCGCUUACCACUUUGUGAUUCAUGACUGGGGUG